GCAGGGCGUGGUGGUGCACUCCUGUAAUCCCAGCAGCUCGGGAGGCUGAGGCAGGAGGAUUUCAAGUUCAAAGCCAGCCUCAACAAUUUAGGAGGCUCUAAGCAACUUAGCAAGACCCUGUCUCUA
rnacentral:sRNA from 1 species